rnacentral:rRNA from 1 species
AACGAACGCUGGCGGCAUGCUUAACACAUGCAAGUCGAACGAGACCUUCGGGUCUAGUGGCGCACGGGUGCGUAACGCGUGGGAAUCUGCCCUUAGGUACGGAAUAACUCAAAGAAAUUUGUGCUAAUACCGUAUGAUGUCGAAAGACCAAAGAUUUAUCGCCUAAGGAUGAGCCCGCGUAAGAUUAGCUUGUUGGUGAGGUAAAAGCUCACCAAGGCGACGAUCUUUAGCUGGUCUGAGAGGAUGAUCAGCCACACUGGGACUGAGACACGGCCCAGAAUCCUACGGGAGGCAGCAGUGGGGAAUAUUGGACAAUGGGCGAAAGCCUGAUCCAGCAAUGCCGCGUGAGUGAUGAAGGCCUUAGGGUUGUAAAGCUCUUUUACCAGGGAUGAUAAUGACAGUACCUGGAGAAUAAGCUCCGGCUAACUCCGUGCCAGCCGCCGCCGUAA